rnacentral:lncRNA from 10 species
UUCCAGCUGAUGGCUCCACAUCUUGGGGGAAGGCUCUGAUUUCAUGACGGGCUGGGGGCUUCUCAGGAUUCCACAGCCCAAAUGGCGGGACAGUUCAGGGGCUCCAAGACCAUCAGGAGCAUGUGGUACCCACAUCACAACCCAAGACCAUGGGGCAUCUGGACAAGGAAGGUCUAUGCACACAGGGUUCCUCAUUCAGCUGGCUUCUCCGGGUGCUGAAUGAUGGGAUCUCUCUCGGGCUCACCCCGUGCCUGUGGGAUAUGUAUUUGCUGGAAGGGGAACAGAUGUUGAUGCUGAUAACAAGCAUUGCCUUUAAGGUUCAAAGGAGGCCCUCAAGGGCACUGGAAGAGCCAGACCCAUUUGUGAGAGCCUCCACUCCUCCCUGCAAGCGCUGACAGCCUCAGAGAGCAGCAGAGGCCCCUCACUCCUGCAGACUCCUCCAAGGGUGCCAGGACAACAAGCCUUGAGCCGGGGAGACAAGGGAAUCAGUGUCUCAUUAUCUCUACCAUCUCUACCAUCUCGGAGAGGGAGAUGUGGCAGGAUAAUAGGGUAAUAGUGGGGUGAGGGUCAGCAGGAAAACAUGAACAAAUGUCUCUGUGUCA